GAUGAACGCUGGCGGCGUGCCUAAUACAUGCAAGUCGAGCGAACAGAUGAGGAGCUUGCUCCUCUGACGUUAGCGGCGGACGGGUGAGUAACACGUGGAUAACCUACCUAUAAGACUGGGAUAACUUCGGGAAACCGGAGCUAAUACCGGAUAAUAUAUUGAACCGCAUGGUUCAAUAGUGAAAGACGGUUUUGCUGUCACUUAUAGAUGGAUCCGCGCCGCAUUAGCUAGUUGGUAAGGUAACGGCUUACCAAGGCAACGAUGCGUAGCCGACCUGAGAGGGUGAUCAGCCACACUGGAACUGAGACACGGUCCAGACUCCUACGGGAGGCAGCAGUAGGGAAUCUUCCGCAAUGGGCGAAAGCCUGACGGAGCAACGCCGCGUGAGUGAUGAAGGUCUUCGGAUCGUAAAACUCUGUUAUUAGGGAAGAACAAAUGUGUAAGUAACUAUGCACGUCUUGACGGUACCUAAACAGAAAGCCACGGCUAACUACGUG
rnacentral:rRNA from 1 species